UCCAGACUCCUACGGGAGGCAGCAGUGGGGAAUAUUGGGCAAUGGGCGCAAGCCUGACCCAGCAACGCCGCGUGAAGGAAGAAGGCUUUCGGGUUGUAAACUUCUUUUAAGAGGGAAGAGAAGAAGACGGUACCUCUUGAAUAAGCCACGGCUAACUACGUGCCAGCAGCCGCGGUAAUACGUAGGUGGCAAGCGUUGUCCGGAUUUACUGGGUGUAAAGGGCGUGCAGCCGGGCUGACAAGUCAGAUGUGAAAUCCCGCGGCUCAACCGCGGAACUGCAUUUGAAACUGUCAGUCUUGAGUACCGGAGAGGUCAUCGGAAUUCCUUGUGUAGCGGUGAAAUGCAUAGAUAUCACGCAGAACUCCGAUUGCGAAGGCAGCGUACCGGCGCCCAACUGACGCUGAAGCACGAAGGCGUGGGUAUCGAACAGGAUUAGAUACCCCAGUA
rnacentral:rRNA from 1 species